AAAGUCGUAACAAGGUUUCCGUAGGUGAACCUGCGGAAGGAUCAUUACCGAGUAUGAGGGCCUAAGCCCUCGACUCCAACCCAAUGUCUACAAAUCCUAGUUGCUUCGGCGGGGCUACUCCGGGCCUGGCCCCUAGUAGAUAGGGGGGCUUGUUUCCCCCCUAGGCCUUCCCAAGGCACCUCGCCGAGGGACCUUAUCCAACUCGUAGCAAUACAGUCUGAAGCUUCUAUAGCAAUUAUAAUAAAAACUUUCAACAACGGAUCUCUUGGUUCUG
rnacentral:misc_RNA from 1 species